rnacentral:lncRNA from 1 species
GAUCACUUCGCAUAACAUGAGAAAAGCAGAAAUAUGCUCAUGAGGAUUUUCUGUGGCUUUUCCAAAGAACCUGAUGUCUUGGUGAUUUUGAAACAAAUUGAUGACAUCUGGUCGAAGGUGGAAAUUAGGUUGUCCAAAAGGGGGGUAUACCACAGCAGGUUGCACUGGUGCGGGAAUUGGAUUGAUGUAAUCCCCAACUAAGACAUGAGCUUCGUUCUGGUUAGCUCUCGGUUGAUUUGGCUGUG